rnacentral:rRNA from 1 species
UACGAAGGGGGCUAGCGUUGCUCGGAAUCACUGGGCGUAAAGCGCACGUAGGCGGAUUGUUAAGUCAGGGGUGAAUCCUGGAGCUCAACUCCAGAACUGCCUUUGAUACUGGCGAUCUCGAGUCCGGGAGAGGUGAGUGGAACUGCGAGUGUAGAGGUGAAAUUCGUAGAUAUUCGCAAGAACACCAGUGGCGAAGGCGGCUCACUGGCCCGGUACUGACGCUGAGGUGCGAAAGCGUGGGAGCAACAGG